AACCUCGUAGUUUAAAAGGAAAAAUAUCUGAUUACGAAUCAGAAGAUUAAAGGUUCAAAUCCUUUCGAGGUUA
rnacentral:tRNA from 1 species